rnacentral:rRNA from 1 species
ACGCUCGACACCUACGUGAGGCAGCAGUCGGGAAUAUUGCGCAAUGGAGGAAACUCUGACGCAGUGACGCCGCGUAUAGGAAGAAGGUUUUCGGAUUGUAAACUAUUGUCGUUAGGGAAGAGAAAGGACAGUACCUAAGGAGGAAGCUCCGGCUAACUACGUACCAGCAGCCGCGGUAAUCUGAGCGGGCUGGCAAGGC